GGCUGAUGGAGUUCCGGAAGCAGGUGUGUCACCUGUAGAGCUGCAGGGACUCCGCUUUUUACAGAUAGAGAAACUGAGGCACGGAGGUGGUCCAAGGGCACAUAGCUAAGCUGUGACGGGCCUGGAAGCCAGGGGAAGCCGCCGCCACCCCCCUGCGGGGUACCCCCCCCACCCCCAGGGCCCAAGCCUCCCUCCACACCUGUUCUCACUCCACAGGGCGCCUGGGAGGGCAGAGGAGGGUGACUGGGAGCUGGUGACAGGGCAGGGACAGAUGUGCAGCAUGACGAGAGGCGGGAGCUGGAGGCUGCAUUUUUAAAUUAGUUUUCUGCCUUGAGCGGAGAAGGAGUUCCCCGGAAUGGGCUCCUGGGCAGGCCAGGCCAGCCGGUCUAAGAUUCCAGACCCCCUCUGCAAGCAGGCCCGAGCCCUCCCAGUGCCCGAGCUCACCACCCAGCUGCGCCCAGGGUAGAGGAGCUGGAAGGGAAGACCUCACUGGGGCAGAGAUGGGGAGAGGCACCAGAGGGGCUCUGUAAGGGUCGGGCCUGGCUCAGGCUUUGGGUGUGCUGUGUUCUAGCAGCUGCUUUCUUCCUGCUCCUUCCUAGCACCCCGGCUGGAGUGACCUCGCCAGACCUCCUUCCACCUUCAUAAAAGCCUGCAGAGCGUGGACCGGACAGCUCAGGGACAGCACCUGCCAACUGCUGGAGGCUCAUGGCUUUGUGACACCUUUUAAGGCUGGGGCUCAGGCAGGAUGUCUUGGGCCUCCUUGGCUUCUGGAGGACGGCAGUGAUGACGGCCGUUCCUUUGGUGAGUUUCUACUGGGCACCUGCUACGCACCUGUCACUCUCGCGGGAGCAGGGGACGGCGGUCAGGACCAAGUCGCUGCCCUCCAGCCGGCGACGGGCACAGACGGUACAGCGCCUACACCUGCGUCGUCCAGCGCGGCAGCCACCACGCGUGGCCACUUGAAAUGUGGCUGGCGCGACCGAGGAACUAAUUUACCAUUUUAGUUUUAAUUGAAAAAGUUGAAGCAGGGUAAAAUAUUUUUCAAUUAAACACAGCUUUAACAUUUGAAAAUUUAGCAUCCAAAUUGUGAUGUGCUCUAAGUGCAAAGUACACACCCAAUUUUUAAAGCUUAGAAUAGGACAGGGAAAAGUGUAGGAUAAUCUAUUGAUGAUUUGUAUAUUGAUUACAUGUUGACAUGGUCAUAUUUGAAACAUAUUCUUAAAGUUAUUUUCCCCUGUGUAUUUUUUAAUGUGGCUACUAGAAAAAAAAAUUCUAUUUCUAUCGGACAGCUAGAGAAGGGCUUUACGUCUAGGGCCUCUGGGCCAAAUCUGUCCAGCCACCUGUUUCUGUAAAUAAAGCUUCCUUGGAACACAGC
rnacentral:lncRNA from 1 species